rnacentral:rRNA from 1 species
UACGAAGGGUGCAAGCGUUAAUCGGAAUUACUGGGCGUAAAGGGUGCGUAGGCGGUUCGUUAAGUCUGUCGUGAAAUCCCCGGGCUCAACCUGGGAAUGGCGAUGGAUACUGGCGAGCUAGAGUGUGUCAGAGGAUGGUGGAAUUCCCGGUGUAGCGGUGAAAUGCGUAGAGAUCGGGAGGAACAUCAGUGGCGAAGGCGGCCAUCUGGGACAACACUGACGCUGAGACGCGAAGGCGUGGGGAGCGAACGGG